UAGAGGUGUUGCUUUCUAUUUAUAUAUUUCUUAUUGCUGCUGCAGGCAACUCUGAAUUGCAGCUCUCCUGACUCCUGACUGCUACUGCAGGGAAAAAGCAGAGACGGUUCAGGUGAUUCAGUAGCGCAAUUAUGAAUCACACAACCCCCCCACAUCCAUCCCAACCGAUCCGCAACCCUUGUGGAACUGUGCAACUUGUGUAAAUAUCUUUAGUCAGCCUAGUUAGCAGUUGCAUAUAUGUUAGUCAGCUGUACCGCAGCUAAGAUAAGGCUCCAAGGCAUGUCAGAGAAGAGGAGAGGGAGGAGAAGCGUUAUCUUCUGCACACAGUGUGCACAUAUCUGCCUGUUUUCAUUAUGCACGGUGCUGGCUUUCCUGCCACCUUUUGAUUUAUUUAAGGCACCGAAACAUAUCAUCACUGAUACAGUCUUCACCGUGGGGGAAAAGUCACUUCUUGCCAAUCCUGGUUUGAUCCAUGAAUAUGCCACCCCGUGUGUAAUAAAAUGCUUUACUUGCAGGCAUUGGUUUAAGCAGUAAGUGUGUACCACCAGCCUUUGUGUGCUCUGGUGCGAGCCCUCCCUGAUGAAGUGUCCGGCCACACUUGGCCAGCGCCGGUGAGGUGCUCCAGUCAGUCCCAUCUGCUGGCUACGGCCACUUAAUCAACAGCUCUUUUAUUAGCAGUCGGAGCUGUGAUUCCCAAAUCCACCCCCGCGAGCCUCGGUGCCCCCCUGGGGGUUAGCCACAGCCGCUGCCACUCUCCCUGAUUUAAUGCUUUGGUUUUGGGCACUGCCCUUAGCUGGCAUGAAGCAGCAGAACCAGCCUCUGCAUUUCAGAUCAGCGCCUAGCAGGUGUCCAGCAUGGGCAUUAACAGACACCGUAAACAAAAUCUGUAACGGACGCCGUUCACGCCAAAUAAAUAAGUAGGUGUAUUUAUUGCAUUGGACUUCACACAUUCUUUCCUCUUACACACACACACACACACACACAUCCAGUGGCACCUGCUGCACCCACUCACUGUACACCAUCUGUGCGCAAGGGCCCCCACUGAAAACCAGAACUCUCCCAGGAAACGACUCCCACCCACAGUCAUCAAAAUGCUCAUUAAAAUGUGGAACUUGGUGUGCUACCAUUUUGUGCUGUGAAGUAAGACUUCAUGCUAUUCAAGCAUUCCCCACCCAAACCCCUUGAAGAGACUGCCUGCCCUUUUCGUUACCAUGACGAGGCUUGUUUUAAAUGUAUACAUUCUUUCCAGCAUGCUAUCAUUGGCUGUCAGCAGUAGGCAGGCACAUGAAGCCCUUGCGCUGCACUGUUGAGGACCUGGUGGAAUUUCAACCAUUAUGUCAGCCUGGACAUAAAGGGUGCUUGUUAGACAGAUAUGCGUGAAGUGUCCGCUUACCACUUCGACGCACAUGCUGUGGUGCUGUGUGUCAUAUGAAGCAGUCAUGCAAGCGUCUGUUUUGUCCAGCACUUCCUCUGGAGGAGCCGCAGGUCUCAUUUUUUCUCUUUGUCUCCUGGAGGAAGGCUGCAGUUGUCCUCGGGAUUAGUGCUACUAUUCAUAACCAAUUAGCAGGAUCACGUAGCAGCGAGAGACACAACCGCCCCUGUAAGACACAGGCACAAUGUUGUUGAUUCAAUCAGGAUGCCAUUUGGGACGGUUGCCGGUGCCCGCCGCUGCCCGCGAGAGGAGUCAUUACGCCUUGGGCACGGGCCUUUUUCUCCUCUCCUUGAUGGGCUGUCAGUGCUGCCCGCCUGCCAAGGGCCAUUUGCUAUCUGGAAACGCUAGCCCUGCCCGUAAAGUGAGAGUGAAGCCAACCCUAUCCUGCUCAGGGGCUGAAGAGCAUUCAGUGUCUCACAUGCAGGGAAAGCUUGUUUGGAGUAAAGAAACAUGUGACCCGUAAACUGAAAAGAAAGUGACAUAUACGUGCUGAUGACAAACAAAAGUGACAUACAUGCUGAUGACGGAAAGCGAAAUAAACAAAAGCUGACAAUACACCAUUAAGGCACGUGACAGUGACAGAAAUGUAACAUUUCUGAAAAUGCCACAUUGAAGGAAACAUCAUGACCUGCAUAUUGUAUUACUGCACCCAGUCAGCAGCAAAACAUGUACUGACACCCGGACCAGCAAAACUGCAGUGAACAUCCUUGGUAAAAAUGAGAAUGCAUUAAACAUUCAAAAUCAAAAUGGAUACAUAUUUCACACAGGUAUUUAUAGGCUGGCCCUUAUCAUACAGACUAAGCUUGCACACAUUGAAUUCCCCCGAGUGAGUGUCGAGCGUAAAACUCAACCCAGAGAGAGGAGAAUGUGGGAUGCGUAGGGUGAGGAGUGAUUCUCUGUCAGCAGGGCAGAAGAGGCUCAGUGGUGAAGGAGUCGGUAGAAUCAUUUAAAGGGCAGAGCUGAUCCACCCUCCCCACAGCGCAGACCUGUCAGAACCGGGGCCUGCUGUUAAGCCCUCCAUCAGGAGGUGCUCCAAGUCUGACCCCCUCGUUCAACUGUCAGCCACCCUUCCUGCGUGAUGCAUGAUGGGGUUUUAAAACGGAAUGCCAUUAUCUGGGGCAUUUAAAAGCCAGCGGGCUCCCACUCAGUUAACUUGUCAUUUGACAGAGCUGUCACAAAGCCGUUACCUGAUGUUUUCACACACCGAUGCUCAUGAAUCACAUAGCUGGGCAAGAAGACUGCAACGACUGUGUAAGAAAAUGUGCUGGUAAAUGUAAAAGUUUGGGCAUAUUUUGGGCAUAUUUUGGAGUUUUAGUCUAUUAUAGUCCUUAUAUGCACAGACCUCGUAUCCCUCAGUGAGGGACCUUGAGAAGGGGUGGAACCGUAUUGGCUAAUGGCACGAAUGCUCAACUCCUCAGAGGCACCUAAUAUAGGAGAGCUUAGCGGCUAAUCAUGUGCUAAUGCUAGCCAAUUUCCCGUGUGUUGUUUCCCGUCGAGAUGGGUCUACCUUGCGUGAGUGGCGCCUGGCCUCCCAUCAGGCAGCAGGACCAGCAAGCUGUAGAGGUUAUGCAAUCCUGAUUGACCAGAGCCUCUGGUUCAGAUAUUAGACAAUUAGAUAGUUACAGCAUGUCAGUCAAUGGCGCUCAGUGUUAGUGUGCUGUUUAGUUCCCUACAGAGGUGCUUCAGUCUUUGUGUGGCGCUGUGUUUUGGGGCGGAUAGAUUUGAUCCUUUUAAAGGUUAGAACAGAAACUUAAUCAGCCGCAGGGCACCGCGUGCUACGACUGUGAUGAAACAGCAAAUGAAAAACAAAAAGCACCGGAAUGGGAAAGAGACAGACAGGGAGCGAUCCGCUCAGUGGGUUUGCCUCAGGACCUGGUCGGUUCAGACCAGUAGUGUUUGCUCUCCACAGUAAACCCAAUGAACCCUGAGGUCACUCACAUUUGUAUUCCUUGGUGGACUACUCAUAGCACAUGAGCUCUGUCCGGCUUGGGAAUGAUUUUUCAGGGGGUUCUGCACUCUCCCGGCUCUCCGUGACGCAGACGCUUAUCUAAUUGGGCAAUCCACCAUGCCUUGAAUUCCUCUGAGCUGAGCCUGGUUUCUUUGUAUUAUUUAAUACGGUCCUCAAAUGUGGUCUUGCAAUUGUUGCUGUGCGAUACCAAAUGCAUUUCUUAUAUUCCUAUAUUGGAAUGCCUAUGACACAGUGGCAAUGAACAUAAGCCUAAUGAUGUAUGAAAUCAUGUGUAUGGCUGCCGAAUUGCUAUUCAAAGAAGUACAGGCCUGCAAGCUACUUGAUAUGACACAGUUUGGGAUUAGUGUUGUAUUCCUCGAAUGUUGCCUUGCCUACUGUGACUGUAAUUGCAGUAGGGUUUUCCAUCCCUGCUGAAGACUGGGCAGAUCACAGUACCAGACUGAUGAGCUAAUAUGCAACAGCUGCCAGCUUUGCCCGUGAGUACUGAUGUUCGGAGACACACGAAGACCCCUUCCAUUCUCCACGUGUUUCACUCUCCUCCUCAAUUUCUCUCCUUUCCUCCCCUGCAUCCCUGCCUCUCUCUUUUCUCCCCCUAUUAUGCUAGUCACAUUCGAGUCCAGUGAAAUGAAACAGUCUGAAAAAUAGUGUCAUCAAAGCGCAGUCGGAAUCAAUACAAUCACAAGAACCAUUAAGUGCAUCCCCUGGCGAUAUCCCCCGAUAUGUGACGAUACCAUCUGCCUCUGAGACAGUCUCAAUACGGAUCCUGUUGGAUUUGGAAGACUUCGCCAGUAGAAUAGUGAGUUCCUUGUUCGUAGAUCUAGUGGACCAAUGCCCAGAUGGCGGUUCUCAAGUCUCAAAAGCCUGGACUUAGACUGAGGCACAGAGGGUAUAUUGUAAGAGAGCACAGUCAGGCCCCAUUGGGUUGUUUUAGCCCUUUGACUGAAGAACGCCCCUAGUGGCCGUGAGGGGGACGCGUUUCCUCCAUGCUGUCCUGUCUUGGUCCUUCUUGACCUUCUCACGGUGAAGAACCGGAGGCCUUAUCUGGGGAAAAAACCUUUCAACAAAGCAAACAAUUGACUUCAGGACCAUUACGAAGCCAUUACCAGUGUAAUGAACAUCUCAAUGAUGGCGACAUGUUUGGUUUCCCCGGAAAGAAGGAUCAGGAAGUGAUUUCAUCAGCUACAAUAGAGGCCGUUAGCCUGUGGCAUAACCUUGCAGAGACAGGGUUUCCCUUUGGAGGAUAUUGAUUAGCAGUUCCUCGCCAAGCUCUCGCAGCAGAACAUCCUUCUAAUGUUGUAUGUGUGUAUAUAGGGCCAAUGAUUUUCCGUUUAAAAAAAAUGCAUUUUCCGUUUCACAUUAGGUGAAUUCCGGUUUUUUUUUCCGUUUCAGCUCAUUUUGUUCACCCUGAGGUAGAUUGAUGGCUUAAAAUGAGUGAAUAAUAUGUGCCCUUCUUAGAUUGUUGUUUGCCAGCCAUCAACAGAACAGAAGACUAAACAUGUUUUGUUUUAAAUGCGAUUGGGAAGACGAGCGCGUGAAUGUGACUGAAUGUGGCUUUAGCGGAGAUCUGUGGGUCAACCGUUGAAAAGGGGGGCGUGGCCGGAGCAGAGUUCAGCGCAGACGUGACAUUUUCUCAGUGGUUUUGUUCUUUAAUUAAUGUUUGUUCAUCGUUGCAAUCGUUGUUGUGUUUAUUUGAUCGAAAUAUAGCCUUGCAGCUCAAAAUACAGGGGUAUUUGGGCGAUUUGUAUGAACAAAAUGAUGUUUCCGUUUCAAAGGUGCGAUUCCGUUUCAAAGUGUUCAUUCCGCGAAUUCCGUCCGUUUUCCGUUAUCGCGGAAAAUCAUUGGCCCUAUGUGUAUGUGCAUUAGGGUACGCUCCCUACGGUUCAACACGAACAUGUGAACCGCUGUAUUGCGAUAUGUCUAUCAUUCUCCUUUAAUUUCCAAAACGUAGGUUAUUCCUUGGCCCCUGCUACAUCUUUCCACCAAAUUUUCAUGGAUAUCAAGGCAGUAGUUUUUGUGUAAUCCUGCUUACAGACAGGCAACCUAACAACAAAACUGCACCAAAAACACAACAUAACAAAAGCAGUGGGAGUAGGCCUAUUUAUAGCCAAAGAUUUACAGCCCUGUUUUUGUGAUUACUGACACAGGACUGUGUCACCAGAUGGAAAAAAAUAAAUAAAAAACACAUUACAAUGUCCCCUCCCACACACAUUUCAGCAGCAAAGCUCUAUGAAACAUCACAGAAGGAAAUUAAAGACUUAUUGACGCAGGCUCCCUAUCUAGUAUUCUCCACUGAUAGUUGGACCUCCAGAACACGUAAAAGUUACCUCACUGUAGUAGACAGAAACCAAGGCCUAGACAGUCAAGUUGCCAUUUUUCUGAAUAGAAAGUUUUGCUUGUCUAUAGGCAAAAUAAACAGUUCAUUAUUUAAAGGGUAUAAAUAUAUCGAAACCGUACUGUUACAUUGGCCCAAAAACUGUGAUACAUAUUGAACUGGGAGCCCAUUGCAUUACCGUUGCAACCGUUGCACCAACAUGCACAUAUCAGGUAUGGAGGGGUGAAGGGGAGCAAGUGUGUGUGUCUGCAGGUGUGUGUGUCUGCGAGUGUGUGUGUCUGCGAGUGUGUGUGUCUGCAGGUGUGUGUGUCUGUGAGUGUGCAAGUAUGUAGUGGUGAACAAGAAUGAUGCAGGGCCCAAGAAAGAAACAGCCCAAUUCCUUUAGCUGUUUGGGCUGCUUCUCAUUGCAAACUAUUUAAAUAGUUUAGAAGUACCGACAUGCUAAUGUAAACAGCUGCGUUGUUUGCUCUGCAGUGUGUGGGUGGAUAUAUUAGUGUGUUUAUGUUUGCAUGUUAAGCUGUUUUUAAUUAGCUGCACCGCUCAAUGGUAUUUCAGAAAAAGUAAACAGUUUGACCGCAGUGUGCCUUGAAUAAACUUCUGGCUGUCCCUCAAUCUCUCUCUCUCUCUCUCUCUCCCUCUCUCCCUCUCUCCCUCUCUCUUGCUCUCUCUCUCUCUCUUUUUCCCCUCCACCCACCCCUCUCUCUUUUUCUCUGUCCCAGCCUGAUUGGCCCCUGUUGUGUGUCCCGUUGAAAAUUACAUUUGUGUCAGAGGCAAUUACACAUGUUUCAAGGCACGAUGCUGGAGGGGUAGCCACAGGGGGCGCCCAGGCCAGACCCCAAACAUCUGCAUGCCUGACGAUAGCUAGACCAUUUCUCUUCACCACAGACAGCUGUUGCUGAGGCAACGACCCCACAGCUGUGCGUUAAAAGGGAAAUGUAUGGAACCAAACUCGUGUCUGAAUCUCAUAAACAUUCUCAUGUCUCGCCCUGUUGGGAAAAAAUGAUGAUUACUGCUGUUUUGAUUGAUACUGAAGUGUUUGAUACCAGCUGUAGAAGCACGUGGAAUGCUUGGAAGAUAAGUCCAAAAUUGUCGCACAUUGUUCUCCUUGCGUGUCCUCCCCUCUUCCCCGAAGCUUUGAUGCCUCAGCGUAGAGCGGCCCGUAGGGGGAAUAUUCAUCCAUUUCAAAUAGACGCCCACGGAGUCAAAUAUGUAUCAUAAGCACACUUCAAAAUUCUCUGCGCGAGGUCGGUUGCGCAAGCAGAUGAGAACGCCUGAGCGCUGGGAACGGGGCACAGCGGAGGGGCUCAUGUGGAGAGACUGAGGAAGCCGCUCCGGUGGAAAUGAAACAGGCUCAGGAGACGAACAGCGUCACCCUCGAAAAGUACAACGAACCUUUUUUUUUUUUUUUUUGUCCUUUU
ensembl:lncRNA